UCCGAUGGACUAAAAUCAUCAUCGACGAAGCGGUCUCAGAAAUCACCCCCAAAAACCUCGAUAUAGACUUCAUCCAGGACCACGAACACACAGAAACAUGAUCGGAUCGUCUUCAAAGCUCUGAUACCAUGUUAACAUCAAGAUUAAACGGAUGAAUCAUACAAAUUAUAGAGAGAGAAAGUAGAGAGAAGGAGGAGAGUAGGUGAGAAGUCUCUCGAAUGUCAGAGAGAGUAUUGUAUUAACCGAGAAAGAAAAUAAACGAAAU
rnacentral:lncRNA from 1 species